rnacentral:rRNA from 1 species
AGAGUUUGAUCAUGGCUCAGAUUGAACGCUGGCGGCAGGCCUAACACAUGCAAGUCGAGCGGUAGCACGGGAGAGCUUGCUCUCUGGGUGACGAGCGGCGGACGGGUGAGUAAUGUCUGGGAAACUGCCUGAUGGAGGGGGAUAACUACUGGAAACGGUAGCUAAUACCGCAUAACCUCGCAAGAGCAAAGAGGGGGACCUUCGGGCCUCUCGCCAUCAGAUGUGCCCAGAUGGGAUUAGCUAGUAGGUGAGGUAAUGGCUCACCUAGGCGACGAUCCCUAGCUGGUCUGAGAGGAUGACCAGCCACACUGGAACUGAGACACGGUCCAGACUCCUACGGGAGGCAGCAGUGGGGAAUAUUGCACAAUGGGCGCAAGCCUGAUGCAGCCAUGCCGCGUGUGUGAAGAAGGCCUUCGGGUUGUAAAGCACUUUCAGCGGGGAGGAAGGCAGUAAGGUUAAUAACCUUAUUGAUUGACGUUACCCGCAGAAGAAGCACCGGCUAACUCCGUGCCAGCAGCCGCGGUAAUACGGAGGGUGCAAGCGUUAAUCGGAAUGACUGGGCGUAAAGCGCACGCAGGCGGUCUGUUAAGUUGGAUGUGAAAUCCCCGGGCUUAACCUGGGAACUGCAUUCAAAACUGACAGGCUAGAGUCUUGUAGAGGGGGGUAGAAUUCCAGGUGUAGCGGUGAAAUGCGUAGAGAUCUGGAGGAAUACCGGUGGCGAAGGCGGCCCCCUGGACAAAGACUGACGCUCAGGUGCGAAAGCGUGGGGAGCAAACAGGAUUAGAUACCCUGGUAGUCCACGCUGUAAACGAUGUCGAUUUGGAGGUUGUGCCCUUGAGGCGUGGCUUCCGGAGCUAACGCGUUAAAUCGACCGCCUGGGGAGUACGGCCGCAAGGUUAAAACUCAAAUGAAUUGACGGGGGCCCGCACAAGCGGUGGAGCAUGUGGUUUAAUUCGAUGCAACGCGAAGAACCUUACCUACUCUUGACAUCCACAGAAUUCGGCAGAGAUGCCUUAGUGCCUUCGGGAACUGUGAGACAGGUGCUGCAUGGCUGUCGUCAGCUCGUGUUGUGAAAUGUUGGGUUAAGUCCCGCAACGAGCGCAACCCUUAUCCUUUGUUGCCAGCGAUUCGGUCGGGAACUCAAAGGAGACUGCCGGUGAUAAACCGGAGGAAGGUGGGGAUGACGUCAAGUCAUCAUGGCCCUUACGAGUAGGGCUACACACGUGCUACAAUGGCGUAUACAAAGAGAAGCGACCUCGCGAGAGCAAGCGGACCUCAUAAAGUACGUCGUAGUCCGGAUUGGAGUCUGCAACUCGACUCCAUGAAGUCGGAAUCGCUAGUAAUCGUAGAUCAGAAUGCUACGGUGAAUACGUUCCCGGGCCUUGUACACACCGCCCGUCACACCAUGGGAGUGGGUUGCAAAAGAAGUAGGUAGCUUAACCUUCGGGAGGGCGCUUACCACUUUGUGAUUCAUGACUGGGGUGAAGUCGUAACAAGGUAACCGUAGGGGAACCUGCGGUUG